rnacentral:rRNA from 1 species
GCUUGUCUCAAAGAUUAAGCCAUGCAUGUCUAUGUAUAAACAAGUAUACUGUGAAACUGCGAAUGGCUCAUUAAAUCAGUUAUAGUUUAUUUGAUAGUACCUUACUACUUGGAUAACCGUGGUAAUUCUAGAGCUAAUACAUGCAUCAAACCCCGACUUCUGGAAGGGGUGUAUUUAUUAGAUGGAAACCAAUGCGGGGCAACCCGGUAAAUGGUGAUUCAUAAUAACUUUCGGAUCGAUCUUCGGAUCGAUGCAUCAUUCAAGUUUCUGCCCUAUCAGCUUUGGAUGGUAGGGUAUUGGCCUACCAUGGCUUUAACGGGUAACGGAGAAUUAGGGUUCGAUUCCGGAGAGGGAGCCUGAGAAAUGGCUACCACAUCCAAGGAAGGCAGCAGG